AACGAACGCUGGCGGCAUGUCUAACACAUGCAAGCCGAACGAGACCUUCGGGCCUAGUGGCGCACGGGUGCGUAACGCGUGGGAACCUGCCUUUAGGUUCGGAAUAACUCAGCGAAAUUUGUGCUAAUACCGGAUGAUGUCUUCGGACCAAAGAGUUAUCCCCUUUAGAUGGGCCCGCGUUGGAUUAGAUAGUUGGUGGGGUAAAGGCCUACCAAGGCGACGAUCCAUAGCUGGUCUGCGAGGGUGAUCAGCCACACUGGGACUGAGACACGGCCCAGACUCCUGCGAGAGGCAGCAGUGGUGAAUGUUGGACAAUGGGCAAAAGCCUGAUCCAGCAAUGCCGCGUGAGUGAUGAAGGCCUUAGGGUUGUAAAGCUCUUUUACCCGAGAUGAUAAUGGGAGUAUCGAUAGAAUAGGCUCAGGCUAGCUCCGUG
rnacentral:rRNA from 1 species